GGUAAAGUACAAGGUAAGGCACCCAAGAGGGAAGGAAGCCUGCUCAGUUACCUCUUCCACAAACAAGCACAGCCUCUUGAUAAUCAGCCUCUUGUUUACGAGUUAAAAGUGUCCCUUAUGGCUCAGUCAGCUCUCCUUAAUCCUUUAUGAAAUGUUCUCCCUAACAAGGGAGCUGUUUUGCUGUAGGUAUACAAAAUGCAGCUGCUCAAACUCCUAAUGCCCACAAUGAAGACAGGCAAACAGUUAGAAUUUAAAACCAAAAGCAGAAUACAUGACUUGAAUUUCCCCAACAGCAGCAUUGUCAAAACCUUCAUUAGCACCAAAGCAAUAGCACAAGAAACAUUGCAAUGACGACGUAGGGAGGGGUGGCCAACUGGCACACAAGGACCAUGCUCUACAGUAGGGUUCAGAUGUUUCUAAAGAACCAGCACUUACAGUAGAUUAAUUAUACAGAAACCUUUAGGAAAAGUACAACCUCCACCCCCUGCAAAGUAUUUUCUGUUGUAAUUUGUGGGUGUGCAAUAAUCAAUGCAAUUACUCUGCUAGUUAGUGACUCACUCUGAUAGGCACAGAGGCAGUUUGGCCUCUAACCCUCUUCCAAAACCUACCUUCAGAUCUGUCUAAGAGAAUUACAGGAUAAUACAUCCAGAUCUACCUCUAUUCAUUUUCAUUGGACUUAUUUUGCCUUUUUUUAAGGCCGGAUGUAACAGUCUUCAAGCACGAUCAGUCUGCACUAAGCAUAACCUCAGUUCAUUAGAGCUGAACAUGGGAGGAUGGCAAAUACCGCCUUCACAGAACACAACCUGUGUUGGGGCAUCUCAUAUGCCGAGAAUAGAAAACUAGUAUAUUACUAACUCCUAGGAGAAUCUUAUCUGACUUGCAAGUAUAAGGAAAGAAGCUGGGGCAACAAACAGCAUUUAUAAAAGCACAUAGCCACCACAUGCCCCUGUGUAACACCACUAGCAAAAUGCAUCAGCUGUGGAGCUUGCUGACAGUGUUCACCAACCACACGUGCAACCAGCACAGAUAUAUUCUAAAACUCUUUCUUGAACAAUUUCUGUGACAUCACUUUUAAGCUCUUACUCUACACUAAAUUUCCAAGAAGUGUGUGCAGUUGAGGGAUCAGCCUGAUCGCCCUAGCAGUUCUAUUUCUGCCUGCUGGAAACAUGCUCCAUCUGCCGUCUUAUUUUAUAGGAAUCAACAAGUUCAACUUUCAUAGAUCACAAAACUCAUCCGCAAGGUCUGAGAAAUAUAUUAUUACAUGCAUCAAACUUGUAUCUGUCAAGCACUAAAAAAAGUCCAAAAGGUCUUUAGAUCAUACUAGCAAAAAUAAUAACAUGAUUUUGUGUUUUCAUAACGUUUUGAGGCCAGCACUGUGGUUUGGAUAGGCUUUGCAAAUAAGAAUAUAUUAUAAGUCAGAGAACAGUUCCACAUUUUUUCCUUCACUACCUGUUAAAUAGUGGAGCUUUUUUUCUGAGCUAGAUAGCAAAGCUUUUAUCAUACUAAAACCAAAAACCUCUGAUUCAGUCUUCUAGUUUCCAUUUUAACUGUGUACUUCAAGUUUCAGUCUAUUCAAAUCCUUGAACGUUGCUGCCUACCUGCUAUUUUAAGGGACCACCAAGCUCUCAACUAAGAAAAGAAGGAGAGAUAAUUUAAGCAAAUUACUUAGUGUAUAUAGUGUCUAAAAAAUGUGUUGAGGAUGGAAAGCUCACAGCCAUUUUUUUCCUUGAAAUCAUGAUGGCUUUGGAGAGUCAGGACCUCUCCCAUAAUGUACAUAGAAGCUCUUAAUUAAAAAAAAAAAAACAAACCAAAACUCACCUCUCAAAAUAUUUGUGAAAGUAAUUAAAGGUGCAUUACACAAUCCUACAACAUUGCUGUCCUUUGUAUUUCUGAAGCACUUGUGAAAAGAAAAAUGUAGGAACUAUUAAAAUUCCCUCAAGCAGAAUUUUUUUGUGGACAGAAGAUGAUAACAAAGCAUGAAAUUAAUCUGUAAGUGCUGAACAAGAUGCAAAAAGAAUGAAAAAUAUGUAAUGACUUGACAAAAAUUGGGAGCAGGUGAUUUAUCCCUGUUAUCAAAAUGCUGCUUACACAGUUGUCUUUUGUAGAGCACUGAGCCUUGAAACUGGAAAAAUUACUGAAAACCACAUAAUCUGUAUGCCACCUGUACUGGGAGACGUUUGCUUGUUGCUUAUUUACUGAAAGCAAUAAUGGCACCAUGAAAGUCUACAGAUUCUGUAUGCCAAAAUUUGUUUCUUAAACUGACUAGGUAAGACUAAACAGAACAGAGUCCAUGUGGAAUAAAGGACAGCAAAUCAGCCCACAGCACUUUUGUUACUGCUUCUGGUUCUGCAAUCAUUUAACUCCUGGCCCUUUGCAAUGAACACCAUAUUCAAUUUUAAGUCAAUAUAACAUCCAGUCAGUGAGUACGUACAACCCACUCUGCAAUCCUUGACAAACGGAGUGUAAUGGAAUUGAGAAGUGCUGCUGUGAGACAUUUAUUAUAAAAUAGUAAACUUGAGGCAUUUCAUGGCAGGAAAUAUUACCAAGAUUUUUAUUUUCAAAACACUGGCCAACAACAAUAACUUACAUGCUGUAACACACCAGAAUUGGGUCUGAAUCCUCCCUGAUUAUAAAUCUCAAGUAGCCUUGUAUUAGAUCACAUUUUGUAUUAGCUGUAUAGUAAGGUAAAUUUCUAUUCCAUGCCACAAUGUAUUUGGGCACAAAUCAGUACAAAAAACUGGAGACCCUCCAGUGGAUUGUUAUUUCACUGAGUGCUGAAAACCAUGAAGUUAAUUCUCACCCGCUGCUUUGAAGAGGUAAAUCUAAAUGUAGAUUAAAUAUAACUUUGCUGCCCUUUGACACUGAGAACCUGACCCCCAUGGAAGUUGCUCCUGCAUGCUUUCAGCCCCUCUUACAAGUCUGCCUCUGUUGUCGUUACUCAGAGGGUGAGGACACCCCCAAAGAAGUCAAACCAGCGGAGUACAACGCUGUGGGGAGGCAGCUCUUCCCUCCUCCCAGGCAGCUCUCCUGCCCUGCCCAUAGCCAACCCCUGCUGCUUCUGUAAAUACAGUUUCAGAGUGAAGACAAGUGUCCAGUGAGCUGUACAAACACAGGACUGCAGCCUGUGAUUCUUCAGUAAGAAAAGUUUCUACUACUCCCAGCUUCAACUGUUUUCCUUAAACUAGUUUUGAAGGUCAUACAUCAAGGAACUAUUUCAUGCUCUAAUACGCACUUUAUUAUUUGUAAGUGAUUUCCUACCAGACAAGUGGUUUGCAAGGACAGGGGACUCUCAUUUCCUUUUAUAGAUUUGAUUCGGAAAUAAAUGCUGGCAACAUCAUGUGACAAAUGGGCAGCAUCCACAACUUGAGCAACUCUCAUAAUUGGAUCAGAAAGUAAUGGAAAAGCCAGUCUGCUGCUGCCAGAUCUAUUUAGCAUCCUGUUCCUCUGCCCAAGUUUUAUCUAAAUUCUUCAGCAUUAUCUCUUGUCUUUUGACACUUCUUCCUGUCCUUAUCCAUGUGCAAAACCCUAGUUUCAGCACACUAACUUACUCAUUCUUAAAUAUUUAUAAUAGUAGGAAAAGGCAAUACAAGUCUUUAUUAUAUCUCCAUGGCUAAACUGAAUUGAGUUUCAGGAAACUUUUUCUUCUAAUUAACAACCACAAGUAUAGAUAUAUGUAUACGAGUAAGGAUUUCCUAUAAAAAGCAAAAACUUUACUGUCUUUGCUAUCUGGUAGCUGUUGCCUUUUAGAACUAUUCUGGGAAAUGAUUGGAUACAACUGCAUGAACUAGUAAUUUUGACUAUCUGAAAGUAACAUAUUUUAAAGGAACCCCAUAGUUUGAAGAUGUGCUUACAAUGUUUAUAGAUGCAAAAUCACUCUACCUUAUUAUUCAGUAAGAUUAAGGCAUCUUAAUAAAGCUCUGAGAAGUAAUAAAAGUAAAUGCAAGAAAAUCUUGGCUGCAAUUCACAUAACUUUCAACAUUCUUCUAAUGCCAAUUCCCACAAAUCUACUGCUGAUGAGCCCCAGAAAUCAGCCUUUUCAGACUAAUUUAGAAGAAAUUUCUAGCAACUUCAGAAAAGUAAAAUUUUUAAUUCCUACUAUUUGCUUCUCAAUUCCCAUUCUGAAGAGUACAUAAUUUUCAAGAACUAUGAUAACAACAUCCUGUUAUGUAUAACAUGGAAAGAAGGUAUAUACAGUAACAAAUGAAAUUGUUAAGGCAUCAGAAGCUAAGUAUUUUUUGUUAGCCCAUAAAUAUUUUUACCACUCAGAAACUGCUUAGAAGUCAACAGAAAUGUAUAUCCAUAGGAAUAAUAAUCUGUGUCUUUACAAAUAUAGAUGACUAGGCACAAUGUACAACUUGUGGAUGGGAAAUUCUAUUGGAAUUUCUGAGCUGAAAGUCACUAAGGGGGCCCAACUGUUUGGCAUGUAGAUGUUUCCAGGGGUACCUGAAAAAAAUACUUUAUAGAUCCUAAGACAGCUUCUUCCUUUUUCUUCCCAGUCUUUUAUUUAUUAUUUGCUGCAGGAUUAUUUCUCACUUCAAAUGUAAUCUAACAUGAAAGCUGCUGAUCAAUAUUGUAAACAGAUGAUUAGUGUCUUGUGACUGCCAAAGAACUGCUAAUGAAUCUCAACAAAUGAUGCUGAAACAGGGACGUGAGGUAAAAUAAUUGAAUUGAGGGAGAUAAUAAAACUAGAAAAUUCCUUCAGUUUAAAAGGCAAAUAUUGCUAGAACCCCUGAAAGAGAAAGAAAUUAUUUACACUUGUCUCAGAAAUGAUAGGAAAUCCAUUUCUUUGUAUUAAUUAAAAUCAAACUGCCACCAACUACAGUACUGCCUACCUGAAGUAAAACACAGAACUUUGAGUCUGAGGUCAUUGAUACUGGACCCUUCCAACCUGCAACAACUGAGCUGAGACUCCAAGGAGCCUCCCUGCCCCUUCUCUCCCUUCUCUUUCCUUCAGGUACUACUUGGCUAAAGAGCCUGCCAGAGCCACCACCUGCCUGCCAGGGCCAUCAGCAACCUCCCUGCGAAACGAGUGGCUGCACACGAACAAAAAGGACCUGCUUGAUGUUGCACCUGGUGAAUAAACUUAAUUCAGCUGGAUCUGGAGAGGAAAUCUGACAGAUACGUGUCAGGUGUGAGCGAGGCCUUGAAACAAUGUGAAGACGAGUCACACAAGGACUUUUGUUGCCUUCUGUCACAAAACCCAACCAACUGACUUCAGAAUGAAACAGAGAAAUAAGUAAUACCUUCUAGCAGCAACCACUGUGAAUUUCUAGGGAAACUCCAUUCCACAGACAGUCUUUUCAGACCUCUUGCCUCCUGUGAAUGACUGAAAGAGAUGGCUGGGCAACAAAAGCAUACAGGUCAUUCCCAGCUCUCUAAAUGUCUUCUUGAAGAAUGCCAGAACAGGUGCAUUGUAGACAACAGACUUUAAGCAACCAAAGAUUUUUGAGAACUGAAGGUAGUUCAUCACCAGUAGUUACUUUUAAUUAAACAAACGAACAAACAAAUUCUAGACAAGCUCCUCUUCUUCUCUACCUGUCCAUUGAUCCAUUGUCUAUUAGUCCAUAGUUUUUUCAAUCUUCUGACUUAAAAUACACUAGCAAGGGAAAGAGCCUUCUUCAUGAAUUUAUUCAAAGACUUUUGGCAGUUAAACCAGAAAACAUAUGUAAACACCAGAAGUGAAAUUCUUGAUCAGUUGUAGCAAGUUCAAACCUUAACACUGAAAAAUAAUCCAAUAUCUACAUUUAAAGCAAACAAUAAAUAUUUAAAUAUGCAAUGGAAAAGCUGUCUAUUUCCGGGGAAGAAAGGCAUUGACUUGGAGAACUCAAGACUCUAAACAGUACUUCGAUCUGUCAAACUCAGUGUAUGACAUAUUUGGUUAAACAUAAAUGCCUUUUUCAUAUGGAGCUUGUUUUGUUUUUAAGCUGCGGCUUUCUUAUCUACCUUUUAAAGACUGAGGUUUAUUUUUAAUGCAAUAUAAUUUAAUUAAACAAACAUUUGAUAUGCAUUUUUAAGCUAUUUAUACAGAUAAGUUCAUGACAGAUUCAGUGUGUAAGAUGAGGAAAUUGAUGUAAGAACUUUGCUUUUCAGGAUUUGCCUUCUACAGGACAGUAUUUUGAAAUUGUAUUUAUGCUGCAAUUAAAAAGGCAACUAAAUAAUAAAACCUUUUGACUAAUAUACUUGUGCUAGUUUAUAUAUAGUUGUGCACUAUACUUGUGCUUGUAAUAAUUUUUCACAAAGAUUUCCCUACAUGAAACUAUAAUAAAAUGUGGAUAAAGAGCAGAGUGAUCUUCACAAGAGAAUAGUAAUCCACAAACCAAAGUUUUGUGACUUUCCUAUUGAAAACUAAAGGACACUCACAUCCCCUAUAUAAGGUAUGUUUUUUUGUUGGUCAGAAUAAAAAAAAAUCUAAGUUAGUUCUCUAACACAUUCAUUGACUUCUAGAGACCAUAUUGAAACAGGAAAAUAAGCAAGUAUUUUAAUUCACUGUCUCUUCAAUGCACUGCAUUUGUACAAUUUCUACUUCUUAAUGUUUCCCCACACAGCUGAGUAUUUAGCACUGUCCUUGGGUGCUGGAUGUUUCCCACACAAAACGACUGCACUGAGCACACGUAGGCUGCAGCAAAUCACAGCAAGGUUAGAGGACAUUUUGCUUUUGCAGCCCAGGCACUCGGUGCAAUGGGACCCUGAUGUUAAUUUGAACCUUUAAAGUACAUAAACUACUGUGCAAGGCUCCAGUGACCAUCAGCAUCUUCAGAUAUCCCAGAUGGGGCAAGGCUUUAACCUGUCCUUUGCUUCUGCUAAGCAGGCUGACAGAACUGUACUCUCAAUACAGCCUGAGCAGGCUGCUGCUCCCUUGAACAAUUAUUAAAAAUGCAGAGAAAAUGCUGGCUUCCUAAAACUGCAUUUUAGUACAACAGCAGUUGCACUUCUGUUGACGGUGACUGUUGUGGACAACAAUGAAUACCUUUUUACUACAUUUUUAGUAGAAACAAGAUGGCAAACGCCCCAGUUGAUUAACAAUAGCUACAGGAUCCAUAGAGCUACAUCACACAAGAAGAUGAAAUGUAGGUCUGCAAGCAAACCUUAAAAUAGCAUAAAUAAACAUCGUUCAAUUGCCAGUAAUUGAUCCAUGAUCAUCUUGUUUAUGAUACACUUUUAAAUCACAAGUCAGCACUAAUAGCCCCUUGAUGCACAAUUAUUAUCUGGUUCAUGACUACAUAUACUUCUAAUGGUAUGAGCUGGUAAACUGCAAGGUAUUUAUUAUCAAGACAGUACUGAAAAGUCAUUCUCCCUUUAGAAGCAAACAAUGAGAUAAACAUAUCUGCUUCUACUGAAGUAAACUGGGUAGCAGGUUUCAAGACACAUUUCAGGUUUUUGGUAAAGCAACAGGUAAAGCAACAGCAAUAUUGUAUUGCCAUGUUUCAAUUAUAUAAAUUAUAAAGACUCACUGUAAAAUAGAUACCAAAGAUUAGACAGCUAGCUGAACUGACUUCACCAAAUAUCUGAAGUGUUUCCUGUUACUCCAGGUAAGCUGAUUGAACUAAACAUUUCCAAAAGGAAAAUAGCAUUAAGUUCCAAAACGUAUGGUAGAAAACAAUUUGCAACAGAAGAGGACAACAAAGGUAUGAUGGAAUAUCAUAAAAAUAAAAUAGCUAUCUUUGUUAGGUAACAGCAACAAGAGUUGACACAUAUUAAAAAAAAACCCAAGAAUUUUCAUAGCAAAGUUAUAAACAGUUCUGUUGUUUUGUUUUUUUUUUUUCUUUUUCUUGGAGACAUUUAUGAGUUGUAUAUCACAAAGUUUUGCUAGAUUAAUCACACCUGAUCAAUGUGUGAGAAAUUCAAAUCUGUGAAUACCAGCAGUGUAAUAGCAAAAACCUAAUGUGAAGGCAAAUAUUUCACAGGAGUGAGCCUCUGAUAGCUUAAUUGCACCAUUCAAAAAGAAAGCAUGAUUAUAAUGGUGGAAAAAAUCCUUAGGUCAGAAUUCCUAUUCUACCUUGAUAGAUCAAUGCAGAUACACUGCAUUCAUAUGCUGUAUGAAUUUAAGAGAUGUAAUUUAAUAGGCCUUACAAUUUCAGAUCUUAUGCUCCCUGUAACUAGAACAAAAUAUUAUUAAACCUUUUGGUGAAAUUUUGACAUUUAUCAAGCUCACUUAUCAGUUCUACAUCAUGCAAUUUAAAUUUUAUAUUUAUACAUUGUUCUAACAUAUCAACAAAUAAAAGAAAUUAUCUUUCUUAAAUUUCAGUUCUCAAAAUAUAUCUCUUUUAAGACAUAAUCCAUAGCUACCAGUUUUUAAAUGUUAUUGAACUGUGUACCUGAUUGCUAAUUUAAAUAAAGAAAUUCUAAAGGCAACUUAUAGAACAAUUAAAAUAUUCUUCUGAAUAUAUAAAAUUAUUCUCCAUUAGCACAGUGUAAAUCUGGUACACUGCAAAAUGCAGAGUCAAUCCUCUGACUUGGAAAUGCAGAUUUACAGCCACAUCAGCAACUUUUAACUGUAAUUUACUGCUACAGAUACUGCAUGCACAUGUAGCAACUAACACCUGCUCAUAAUGAAGAUUUCCAGGAACAAAGUUGGAAAACUACAGAUUAUCUAACAUACGUCCCAGGAAACAGCUGCUGUGUGGCUGUAUCAUUAGACUACAUGUCAUAAACCAGAUAUAAGACUGUAUGUCAUAGACCACAGAUGUAGACAUAUUCAUCUUUGAGUUCAUUAGUUAAAACAUUAAGUCAACAGAUAAAGUAUUUGAAAUCUGAAAGUAUUUCCCUCAACAUUCAUAUUUUGCUACUCAUCUCGGGCCUUAAGAAAAAUCAGAAAUAAAAGAUAUUGGAAAAUAAAGUUAGCACAUCUAUUUGCAUAUUCAGCAUCCAAACUGCUCUUCCACAUCCAGAGAAUUUAGUGUCAGCACUAAAAUGCUAAAAAAAGUCUUCGAAGAAAAUAAUGCACUUUAUUUGUGGAUGCACUGACUUUUCCCUAACGGUUUGUAAAACAAACCAGUCACCUCUUGUCUAACUCUAACUCCCAUGCUGUCAUGCCAAACCACUGGGAUGCCCAAGCCAGAGGAUGACAGAGGCCAUUCCUGGCUUUCCCCGGAGGCAGUCACCCACCUCCCACAUGAAAAAACUGCAUGAAAAUGGUCAUUCUCUCCCUCUUUCCAAGGGUCACUGCCCAGGAAAGUCAGUGCCCAACACAGACACCCUCACUGCCACAGUCUUGGGGCUGGAGCUCAGCUGGGCCAGCUUGAGAAGUAGGAGAGAGAUGGAGAGACCCUGGGAUGGGGUGUCCAAGCUUUCCCUGGGCACUGGCAGUGCCCAAGAAAAACACCAGCUGCUCAUGCACAGACCACACUUUAAUUGACUUGGAGUUAAAACUUUUAACAGAGAUAAAUCAAACACAUCACUAAAUAGUGGGACAAGAGAUCCCAUUCUCUUUGGCUUUAUAAAACCAGUCAGAAUUCUAAUGAUGCAUGAAAAAAAUAUCUAUUUUUACAAAAUUAUUUAAGUUCUACACUGAUAUCCCAUGGAAAACAAGUGCUUUCCAUAUCUCUUUCUAAGUAUAAACAAUAAGAAAAACUCAUGUGCUCUUCCAAAAUUACUCAAGCACAGGUCACAAAGUAUUUCUGCUGAAAUGGAAGCAUGUCAUAGCUCCAUAUUAAAUCAUUAAGCUCACUUCAGAUGGUUACAUUUAUAUGGGAUUAUAUAUCUUGCUUACACCACUUGGAGAGCUAAGGCAAGCAUACAAGAGAGUCCAAAGAAAGGAAUACAGCAUGCCUUUGCCUUUCCUUCAAGAGUUUUAUUUUCUAUUUGAGAUUUUUGUUUAAAAACUAUUUAAAAAAAGAACUAAUCAGUUUUACCUAGAUCACUGUAGAAUUAUAAAAAGAGGGAAAACCAGUGUGUUGCUAUCCAUUUUAUUAACUAUUCUAUGUUAGCUGAAAACUAAUAAAUAUUCUAUCAAGGCAAUCAGUUCAAGUGUUCCAUCCUACUUUUUCUUUUUCUGAACAGUCUGGACCAUGCAGUCUAUGAAUGUGCCAUAUUACUGUUAUGAUUUUUUAAGAAAUGGGGAAUUUUGUAACACUCCUAUUUCAGUAUUUAACAUAAAUAAUACUGUAAUAAGCCAAUCAUGCUGGCAGAAGUACAGCACACUACUGGAAAUACCUGUUCUUGGAGGUGAUUUGGAUUGAGCAACUGGGUAAUGCUUUGGACAGAAAUUAUUCAAGUCCCUGUUGGCACAUUCAACGUGAGUAGGUCAAGUAUAUGGCUAGAUGUUGUGUUAUUUUUUGCAAUUCAAUAACAGUGCAAAUAUGAACUGAGAAUAUUUCUCCCUACAAACAUAAAAAAAGCAAUUAUAGCCACAUCAGCGAUGAAAAAAAUAUGAAGUACACUGUGAUUGUUGGUUUGCCUGCAAAUUUUCCUGCAAUAAUCCUAACAAACUACCUAAGAAAGUUUCAAAUGGAGCAAUAAUGGCUUUUGGAGAUGAUCUGGAAAACAAGUUCUGCUUACAAAACUUUUUUUUGUAUUAAACUUCAUCUAUUUGAGCCAGAUUCCCCAAACCACUGAAACUUUGGGCAACAGGCUAAUGAAAGAGAAUCAUAAUACUUAAGACUGUGGGGUUCUAAGACAAAAACAAGUAGCUAUUGCCAAAGAUAAAUCAGCUUUUCUAACCCAAACAUCCUGGGGAGUGGAUGACUGCCUAACUGGGGAUUUUGCCUGACAAAAGAGGUAGAAGCUGUAAAGAGAAGUUUCUCACUGGCUUCUUAAGGACAAGGGUAGGCAGCUUAUGUGACAAAGAGAAACAGCAAACAAGGAAGGAAUUGGGGGGAAUGAUUUUUUCCUUUCUGGAGAAUAAGCCACCAACAAGGACAGCAGAAGGAGAAGCAACAACCUUAGAAGCAUCUUCCUUCAGCUGAGCAAAUCCUCCAGAACAAGUAAGAACACGUGAUGGGAAUGUGCCCACUACAAUGACUGUUUUGGUCUAGGUCAGUUUUUUUUUUCUACGCUAAAAGUACAGGUUGUGGGGAAAAAUCUUCUUGGACCUACAUAUGCAUCCUCUUUGAGAAAUUGUCUGAAGAACAUGCCUGUACUUCAAUUAAUAUCAGAUGUAACACUCCCACCUUUAGAGAAACAGACAUCUUUGAAACACUACUCAAAAAUGUGCUUAGGUUCCACGCUCAAGCAGCAUUGAAGUUUUGAAUCAGUGGCAUAUUUCAACCUCCAGAACAUUUAAUUUCUCUCCUAUUUGUAAAGCUCCUAUGAUAUGGUUGAGAUCUUGCCUAUAACUAGAUCCUUUGUACCAGAAAAGAGACUCUGACCUUCCAGUCAAACUGUAUGGGGGGGGGGGGAAUAAAAUCCCUGAAUGUCUCCUCAGGUGGGGAGCUCCCUCUCCUCUCCCUCUCCCUCUCCUAGCUCUCAAAAUAUAUGUUUUCGAUGUGAUUUUGAUUUUACUUGAUGUACUGUUAAAAAGCAGUUUAAACCAGCUAUAAGGAGAUUAUUUUUUAUUCUAAAUUGGUUAUCUAUUCCACUAUACAGCUACGAGGAGAAGCAGAAGGGAGAGUUUGAAGAGAAACAAAGCAUUCCAAAUAAUCUGAAUGGGAGAAAAAGAAUAAAAUAAAUAUUCCUAAAGGAAAUUAGGCAUUCUUAAGAGAAACUUUCAAAACUUGAAGGAAAAAAGGUUAGUUUUAAUGGCUAAUUUCUUCACUUGACAAGAAUUCACAACCAUCACAGCUAACCCUCAGGCAAUUAUAAAAAUGCCCUGACUGAUGCUCACUUGUGACUCCAACUGUAUUUUGCAAAAAAGUAUUACAUAAAAGAGUGAUUUUUAAUUAUUUUUCUGUGUCAGUAUAAAACUUUUACCUUCUUAAUUGGAUUUCUGAUAUCCUAGAGACCUCUCAAUCAAUGAAGAGUUUCAAUGUGGAAAGUAUUUCACUUGAGCCACAUCAGUGUGUGUAACUCACCUAAAAUCUGCAGUCAACAUUUUGAUUAUUUUAAAGGGCAGGGGAACAAAGUAGGUAAAUUUGGUUAUGAUGGUUUAUCUCCAGAUUUUAACAAUAUAAAGUACUGAGGAGAAAACGAAUAGCGAGAGACGAGCAAAAGCAUCUCAGAAUAUGCAAGUAGUGAAUGUAGUCACUAAAAAUUUGUUUUCCUCUUUCUUCACAAUUUCCAACUGGACAUCCAAUUAAUCUGGUAGAGAAUGUAAUAACUCUGUUUCCUCGGUGAUAAAAAAGGAGAAAAUUUGUAGUAAUUAAAAUAGGGAAAAUAAAAAAUUGUAGACAUUCUGUGAUUUCCAACAUUAAUCAUGGAAGUGAAUCUUUGCUCUGUAAAUCAGCCUCAGCACCUAAGCACCACCCUCAUAGCAGCUAUGGGAAAAGUACUCACAGGACCCAUUGGUCCUCUGGAAUUAGUAUGGCAGGUAAGAGGAAGAAUGGUGUUUGAGCUUCGAAAUUUAGCACUAGAAUUACCUGUCUUUCUAGUUCUUUUUUGGAAAAGUAGCAGAAAAGAAAUGUUAUUAGGGAAAGCACUCCAGUAGCGAGAGAUUAAAGAUCCACAUUCAUUUCUGCUAUGACUCUUAACAGUGUCUCUGUUAAAAAACCCAACACACUCAAACAUCUCUACCCAUAGUGCCCUGCUCUCCCUGUGCUGUGGGUUUUUUAAGGAAGCUUUAUUUCACCUUAGCUCACAUAUUUUACUGUAUCUCCAUUUUGUCACUUGGGCUUUAAGGUACUUUUGACUUUCUAACUUGUAUCAUCAUUAGUCAAACUAAAAAAUUAUCCUUGAUUUUGUAACAAUAGAGAUAACAGAGAAUGACUUUCUUUACUCAAUAGUCUGUUAGCAAUCCUAAAAGCCAAAACGUACCUAUUAUGUUUUCUUUCUACUGCCAGAUUUUAUCUCACUCCUGAAAUACUAAUUUAAAAAUAUUUCUUAAUUAUUUAAGACUGAACUAUUCUUUUCCUUUUUGACUUGCCAUUUCAAAAGUUAGAAUUAUUCAAAAUUAUACAAAAUAAAUUGAAAUUCAGCUGCAGCCAAAAAUGACAUUUUUCUCAAUUUAGUAACCUCACUAGAAGAGGAGAAUGUAAGCAAUAGCUUGAUUUCAAUAUAUGCUUGCAUAAAGACAAGACAAAUAUUUUGUAAAACUUUCACAGAAUACUCAACCCAGCAAUUUCUAAUCAUCCUAAAUGAACGGCAAAAAUGCAUUCAGUGGAAUGUACACACAUUCAGUGGAAUGUACACAUGCUUACACAGAUAGAUUAUUAUGAAUGCUAUCAGUAAGAUUGAUAAUUUGAAAAUGAUUAAACUGCAAAGAUAAAUAGAAGGUUGAUUUUUAUAAUUUGAUUCUGGCUUUGCCUAAAAGGAUCGAUGAGGAGCUGGUACAAUUGUCAAAUAUAGUCAUGAAUCCCCAUUUUAGGCAUCUAUUUAUUUCAACAAAAUUCCUAAGACAUACUCCGUUUAUAAGAAUUAAUAUUUUCUACAGUCAUGGAAUUUUGAAACUAUUCUUUAUAUGAACACAACUUAUUUAUCUUCAUUCAGUUUCUCAUACAAGACUUGAGACUUUAUUUAUGUGGUAGUUUUAUUUAAGGCUAUGUUUUUCUUGAGAUUCAGAAACAGGAAUGCUCUUGCAUUUUUUCAGAUUAUCCUCCCAGCAAACCCUAGAUCCAAUGCUCACAGCUUCAUCCUGAAAAAUGUACCAUGACUAUUCUAGGUCCCUGCAGAGAUGCUCUUUUACACUUAAUUUUCUAACUUCUCUGUAAGAAUGAAGUUGAGAAAUGUCAUUUUUCACCCCGCCCUUUACAAGUUGUUACAGUACUUAAUAGUAUAAUAGUUGAGACUAUGGAAUCACAUAUGGAAGUAUGCAGCACGUAAAUGAUUACAAAUCAGCCCAGCACAUCAGCAUCCAGCCAUGCAGCACAGCAGCCAAGACCACACCCUUUUCCAACCAAGGGCCUUGGUGUGCCGGCUGUGAUUCUGGAAGGAAACUAGCUGAGGGUGAAAGUGCUUUCUAGCAAGUGAAAGGGACAAAGAGCAUGAUAGCUGACCUUGUUAUUUCCUGGUUAUUGCUCUUUGUGCAGAGGAAAUAGGCAUUUUAGCAACAUCAGCUCAGGCGAGCCAAGAUUGUCUGCUUUUUAAUGGAUUAAGAUAACUUUUCCUUAUAGAGCGAUCUUUGUUUUCUGUUUGGACAACAAAAUGACAACAACAUGAACUGCUGCUGUGUUUGUUCACUUUUCCAGCAGCAAAGCUUUUUAAGAUACAUGCACUUAAAAAUCCAGAAUGUAUGUCUUAACAUACAUCAGGUAAACAUACACUUAAUAUCUAAACCAAAGAGAAUUCCUGCAAAUCCAGUGAGCUGGUGGUCCUGUAAGUCCUCUGGGAAAAGAGAUAUCUCGCUCUGCCCUCUGACUGAGAACCAGGCAGAGCAGAAAUCUGAAUUUCCCAGAUGAGUGCUCUGACUGUCUGCCUUGGAAACUCUCCCUGGCUGCACAUUUAGCAGACAGUUUUGUUAGGAAACACUCUUCCAAGUUUUCUUGGAUUCUUAAGAACUUUUGGUUUCAAUGAAUCAGCAUUUCCAGAUGAAAAGCUACUGUACUGAAAAAUUAAUGAGCAACUGUAUUUAUAACAACCUCUGAGAUGAUAUUUAUCAGUUUUGUAGAUCUGACUGAGCAGUUAGCUGUGUACUAGCAGCUAACUUGACCACUAGAACAUGCCCUCCUCCACUCCAAAUGCACUUAGGACUUAAAUCAGUAAAUUAUUAAGAACUUUAAAAUUUUACCGAUUCAAAUCAACUUCUCUUUCAAGAACUCGUGUUCUUACGACGUUGAUGUAUUUGUGUCAUUAAGGAAAAGGAGAGAACUAUAACUUCAAUAUCAAAUUGGUAGUUUCCUCAUGGCUGCAAAAUAAGGAACCUCACACAGGAAGAUACCCCGCUGUGGUAAACACGCAAGAUAUAUUUAGAAUUACCAAACUGUACUAUUUCAUUCUGUAAUGUUUAAAUACAGAUAAACUGUAAGGGACUUAAAUUAUUAGAAUGCCUCAUUAAAAGUAUAUAUACUUCUUGUUGCUAUUGUAAAUCAAGAUCCACAGAAGAAUGCUUACUCAUAGUUUACUCACUUGACAAUAUAAAAUAUUUAUUUCAGAUAUGGUUAGCAGUAUUUUCUGAUUAUGCCCAAAGGCCUCUGUAAAUAUUGAAGAUUAAAGCCUGAACAUAACUUUCUGUGGACUUUAAAAUGCCCUUUGUGGACUGUCAGAAGACCCACUGAGACUAUAUUAAAGCAUUCAUCCUUCUGCUGCUUUGAAAAUUCAGGCAAAAGCUUCUGUUUGCUGUGGCAAGAGGGGAAUGCACUGGCAAUGUAAGUAUGGACUCAAAAUUACAAUUACAAGCAAGAACGAACACCUCCAAACAUGAAACAAACUCACCUCUCUACACCUGCAGCUCGUGAAACCUACUAUUUAUGUUAAGGCUAAUUCCAGGAGAAAAAAAAAAGUAGUAAUUUCAAAAUUAGUGAUUACUGGCACACAGAUAACACAUUUUUAUAGAGUCCCAUCCACACUGAAUAUACAGUCAUUACCUGGAAAUUGGUCAGUGCUUUAUGCGAGGAACACAAAGUCACUACAGUAUUACUUUUCCAUUACUGCUACCAUGGACACAUGGUAGCACAAUCCCUGGUAAGUUGUAACUGCAUGUAAUACAUGCAUUCUGAUGUUACCAUAGGAAACCAAUUCCUUAAGCCACAGUAAUCCUUUCAAACUAAGCUAAAUCAGGUUAUAGUAGCUAAGUGUAUCUUGUAUCCCUGAAACAUCUGUUCCAACAAAACUUUUAAAUAUAUUUUUAAAUUAUAUAUUAAAUCUGUAUAUUCAGAAACAUGGACUACACUACUACAAAACCAAAAUCUGUCCAACACACUUCUAUGGAAAAAAUCCUUUUAAGUACAAGUAUUUAUUCUUACACUUCACUUAAGAGGAAAGAAGAAAAAAAUUUAUAUUGUGUCAUGGCACAUAAAAACACUUGCACAUUCCCCUACGACUUCCCUCUCAAGACAGCACAAUGUUUCCUUCAACAGCUGAAUUUCUAAAAGCAAAUAUAGGUACACAAAGCCACAGCAAAGCCACAGUUUGUUACAAAGGUUUCCUUAUUACUAAAAUAGCCUCAUGCAGCAAAAUCAUGUCCAGGUUUCAAGUGUCCUCCUUCAACUGCAGUGGUACAUACUGUUUUUUAUGAAGUAUUCUCAGAGCAUGCACUGUCUGCACAGCACAAGUGUGACACAUAAGUCUAAGUGACAUCCAUGUCUAAAAGGAAUGCCCAGUACCCACACAGAGGAUACCAGCUCACAUGUUGUAUUACCUGGAAUAUGUUGUAUUGAGAAAACAAUGAAAAGUCAUUUAGAGAAGAACCAUGGAAAAGCCCAGUAGUUCACCCCUUCCCCCCAACAUACUCACAUAAACACAAAACAAAAGACUUGAUUUAUUUUAGAAAGAUUGAAGAGUAUUCCUAAAAACUCCUUCCUAUCCAACUCCUCUCUGAUGGAUGUAGCAGAAAAAAAAGCACAUAUAUGGUUUUGCUUUCAUUGACCUGACUGCAGUUACCAGACUGAAGCAAUUUUUGUAAUUCCUAAUCUUACAAUGUUUUCUUUAGAUUCCUAACACAGAUUCCCUUAACCAUCAUGAAUACAUCAUCUGAUUUUCAAAUGAUCCCACAGACUACUCCAUGGAUUUCCGUGGAAAAGGGCUAUUUGAAGCAAUAUAUGAUUUUCCUAUGUUUUCAACUUCCCAGGGAAAUUAAACUUGCAAAAAAUUUAUGCUCAAAUCUUAAUAUCAAUAUUUUCUUUUGCAACCUGUCCCAGUUCAAUUUUUGUGAGCCUUAGUUUCUUAAAUGGCUUCAUACUUGAUCACGCCACAUCUGUACUUGGCCAAUAAUUUUACAACAAACAGAAUGCAAACUAAAGGAUUUAAGUUUCCAUUUUAAAGAGAAACAAUACAGAGUUUAGCUCUACUUAAUUAAACCUAAGCACAUGUAAAAAAUUGAAAAAAUGAAAGAUUUAAAUUGUGCUCAAAUAUUAAAUAAUCACUAAAAAUUACUAUACCCAUGCAGACCACCAAAGCAAACUUCUUCACAAUCAAAAUGAAAGCUGGAGAUUUACUCUUCUUUGGCAAACAAUUGAAAUAAGAUUUUUUCAGGUGUACACAAACAACUGAAAUGAUCAUCUAUUCAUUUUCAAAGCCCAAAACAAAUUGCUCUGGCCCAGGAGAAAUGGAAAUCAAAAUGAACCGCUUAAUACUCUUGAAACCUAAUCUGUAACAAUUCCAAAGAAGUCUACCUGUAUUUGAGAGAAAAAUGAACAAUGAAACCCUCCCAAACCAAGCACAAUGUGGUGCUUUUGAAGUCAGAUGACAAAGCUGGCUAGCCAGCUUCUAGACCAAGUGAGUUCAGAGACCCCGUUUGCCUCACAUUGUGAACACCAGUGCUGAACUCUUGAACCUGGAAGCAGCAGAAGCAGCUCUGUGUCCAUGGGCCCCAGCAAAAGUUCACAGAUGACCUGGUGAGAAAUGCCCAAAACCUCUGCUCAGAACAGUGAAGAGGCUGCACACUCCUAGUAUUCAUGACCACAACUCAAUCUUUCCUAAUUCCUAUUUGAAGACUUGACUAAAAUAUCUUUUGCCACAGCUCUAACCCUUUCAGCGUGUACAUGUCAGAGACAUGAAGGCUCACAGUCAGUGGUUUGUUGGUUUUUUUUUUGUUUGUCUGUUGUUUUUUUUUUUUUUUAAAUAAGAAAGAACUGCAGAUUAUAAGGGAAAGGAAUAUAAACUGAAAAAUACAGAUGCAGUUUUUAACUGGCUGUGCCAUUCCAUAUGAUUCUGCCUUUCAGAAUAAACUUAGAAUUUCUCAUGUCUUAAGAGCUUCUGUAAUAAUUAAUCUGUUUAUAUAUUGUUUGUUCCAUCUCACUCAUACUCUGAGCUUUAAAAAAUAGCAUAAAUCAAUGAAAAUAAAAAAAUAACAAUGAGGAAGCAGAUGCCCCUUUCCAAAAUGUUAGCAUUAAUACAGAACAACUAUAAACUGUCUUUCAAAAUAAGCAAAACUCUUAUUACAGAUUUCUAAUGAAUCCUUAAUUAAAAUCCACUAAUUCACAAAAAUAUUUGUAAGAAAGCCCAGCAAGUCCCGUUUCUUACAGAGGAACAGACUUGAAGCAUAGAAAAAUCACUUGAAAGAGUGAUAUCUGGUGGAUAAAAAGGCUUUAAGAGGCACGUAAAAGAUUGUGCCCAUAUUCCGUCAGGAAUUCCAAAGAAUUAGAUGAACUCCUUCCAGCCGGAGUAAAACCAGAGAGAACUUGCACUUCCAUGUGUGCAGAGGUGUGUGGCAGACAACACAGCCACAUGAACAUUGUCUGUUACUGAGCUGGGCAUCUCCCGAUUCCUUGAGUGCUCAGCUCACAGGUUGUAGAUUCUGUGCUUUGAGGAGUGUGCCGUGUCCAGCACAGCAGCAUCUGUUUGCACAGCUGAGUGGGGGACACUCCUCCCUGACCACUUCCAUGAUGUGCUGCUGUCCCGGGGCUGUCCACAGCAGUCCAGAAUCUGCAAUGGCAGAGAUGAGGUAAAAAAGGUUUGACUUGGCAGCAGCUUCCUCUCAAGUCUCGCCAAGCCUGGAAAUGCUGUGGCAGGAGAUGUGAAUGAAGUAACACUUGAAGUGCAGCUGGGAACCAACUGUGUCAUCCUGGCUCAAAGGAAGUGACCAUCUGACUCCACAGAUGCAAAGUCCCACUGAAGCCUAAAAGAAGGAACUUCUUAUUACCAGAAAUCUGUAUCAUUAAGAAAUCCUUAAAAAAACCUUCUCUUGAAGAGAACUGCAUCGACUUGUGCGCAGAGCUGUGGUGAAAAAGAAGAGUGGAGAGCAACUGUGUCUCCUUCCAGGCUACCCCUAACUCUUGUUUCUGAGAAGGGAAUACACAGUUGUCUUAGAUGGUAUUUAAGAAAUCUGAGUCAGGAGCUUAAAACUAUGACAACAUAUAAAGGAAUAAUUAUAUAUCUAGUGAGAAAGGAAUGCAUGAGGGAGGGAUACUUUGUCUGGGUGCCAGCACCAGUGAGUAACAGCAAAUGGUUCAAACUGGAAGGGCCUUUCCCUUAAAGAACCAGUUGGUCUCCAUUGUUAGGAGGAUCCCUGAGCAUUUUGCAGAUUUGGGGCUCUGCAAGAAUCUGCUCUGCACUUUUCGUGGAUACUGUCUGAUCCAUUCCAAUCCACUGAAUCCUGCCUCACCUACUGCAUUCUAGAGAUUUGAUAUUUAAAGCUGAAAACUUUUUUUUUUGGAAAUACUUAAUAAUUAUCUCACAAAAAUAAGGGGGAAUGUCACAGGAUAAACAUGCUUUUAUUGUGGUAGUAUGUACAAAUGUACUGCCCUGUAGCUACACUGUUUUUUACCUCAUGCAUCUUUAAAUCAUUAUACAUCUUCAUUUUCUGUCUGUGUUCAUCCCUCAUAGUAAAUGGAAAUUUAUCAUUAGGAUAAAUGUAAUAAACUACUACAGUCAAUAUUUUUGUUUAAAUGGUCACCAACACAUUUUACCUUACACUUAUUUGCUAUAUUGGAAGGAUGUGAUUUAAAAAAAAUACUUGUAUUAGAGGUGGAGUUUCUUUUCCAAACAGUUCAUACUGAUAGUCUGAUUACUGCUUCUGGACUUUAAACACUGAGGUCCUAUAAUCAUGAAAUUAAACAGAACCAUGAAGAAUUAAAUAAAUAAAAACAUUCCAAGUAAGUGUUGUCCCUGAUCUUUGUAUCUUUCUUAACGAUCUGGGCAAGAAAUUAAUUUUAUUUUUCACAAUUACUAAAAUAAUAAUGGUCUUGAAUCAUUCAAUUUUUCUCCUUUAUAUUCAGUUGUAGGUGAUCUCUAGUUCUUUUAAGUUUUGUUGAAGCAACAGAAUGUCAUGAGGUGCAUAUAUGACCUGAGAGUAGCGGGAAAUUUUUUUUAAGAACUUUAUUUUAGAUUUCACUGACAGUUUUCUUAUUCCUUCAAAAAGCAUCUGGAUUUUCUGUCUUCAUGGGCACCUAUCCUAUCACUGGAUGGAGUCUCCAGAUGGUCCAACUGUCCAACACUUUUGAUUUUAGAAUAGGAACUUCCUCUCCUAGAUGAAAAAAAAAUAUUUUUUUUGCAUUCCUUUGCCACCUAGUUCAGAUUGCCCCCCCAUAGCAGGAGGUAUCCUGAACACAUUGAGAUAAACUCACAGAGCUUGUUUUCCAACUAUUUAACUUCAGGCAAACAUCACAUUAAAGCUGUCCAUGUCAGUGUUCACUCUGGCUGGUGCUACAGAGAGACCCUCUUGAUCACUGCUGCAGCCCUGUUUGGCAAACUGCUCCUGAACCUCUUUUUCUUAUUUACAAUUGUUAUUGUUUAGGUAUUUUUGAUAAUAUCUUAUAGGUUUUCAUUUUUUUUAUAAAGCUUUUCUAUGCAUUUGUUGUUCAGAUCAUCUCCAUCAACUGAAACUUGUCACACCUAUCUUGGGUUCUGCAAAGUAAAAUAAGCUUGCAAAAAAUGGUAUCUAUUAGAAAAAAGCCCUCAAACCCACCACUUAUACUGUAAAAACCUUAUGGGAAUCAGAAAACCUUGAAACACCUUGAAGGCAUCUUGAGCAACAAGUCUACUAGGCAAAAAUGAAAGCAACAGCUAAAUUUCUUUUGCUCUGUUCUAUUGAGAGUUUUGCAUUACUUUUUUUUCCUUGAAGACCAUGUAAAAUAUAAUCCACGACUUCAAAGAUUUGAUCUGCUUCUGACCAAUACUCCUAGUAAAGUAUCUUCUCUACACAAUGGUUUAAAUACCUAUAGUUCACCUCCCUCUCUAAACAGCCACACACAUCAACUAGGGCCACACCAUCUGAGGGAAAGGAAAACUAAUAUACUGUAUUUGGUGUAAUUUAUCUGUGUUUUUCUACAUGUGCAGGAGUGAAAAAGAUUGGUUUCCCUCAUUUCUUGCAUUUCUCCAGAAUAAAAAAUGUGACGUUGGAUUUGGAAUGAGAAGCCAGGAUCACCUUGACUGGCAAACCUUGGAGACUGAGCCAUGACUCCACCUGAUUUUCUUUCCAUUUAACCUAAAAAUCAGGGGAGGUUAUUCAAGGGGAUGAGGGAAGUGGGAUUUAUGUUUUUAAGGCUGUCUGGUCCUUUAAGUUAGGAUGACAUUUUGUAGCAUGCCACUACUGCCUUCCCACAGAGAAAGGAAAGUACUUGUAAGGAGGUUUUUUAAAAUAUUAUUAUUUUAAAUGAGACACAUGUGGCAAUCGGUUUGUUUUUCAGUCUGAAAAGAGCUCAGUUUCUCAUGAUGAAUUAAGAGUUUGUAUGGAGAAUCCUCAUUUGUUGAAGGCUGGUCACUGGAAUCCCCCAGAUUUUUUUUUUCAUAUGCAGUGUACAAGGAUCCUUUCAGAUAGGAGAUCUUUGAGAUCACUGGAGAUCAAUAACAAAGAAGAAACUAUGCAAAAAACUGUAUUAUCUAGAUUAUAUUCAAGGAAAGAAGCAAAAAAUUUAUGAACAUGGCAAACAUAAGUAAAGAAGCAGAUUCAGGAGACUUUGCUGUCAAAACCUCUUUCCCAAACAACACUUUGAGCUUUGUGCCCUCUGCUCAAAGUUUUGUGAACUCAGCAUUUUCAGUGAAGUGUUCCCCUUCAAGCCAGCCUCUGUGUUUUGCAGAGGCCUCAGCUGCCAAGCAGAACCUGACAUUUUAAAAAGGUGAGUAGCUCUUGACCAUAUAAAAUCAGGCACAGGAUUUCAGUAGGUGAAGAAAAUACCUGAAACUAUGCUCCUAACAUUUCUCUAGAAAUAAAACCUCACACUAAUUGGUGAACCACUAAAACCAAUAUUCUGUGCUUAAAGCAACGAAUACUUAAAGGUAAACAUUACACUUUAGAAUCCUUAGGGCUUUUUUAAAUCCAUGAGAUGUUGUAGGAAGAAACCAGUGAGAUUAUCGUCCCAUCUUCCCUUAUGGCCUCAGAUUAAAAAUGUUUGGUAAUAGUGAAAAGUAAGGUAAAUAGGGCAUGCAUGUGCAUAUUUGUGUAAAAACAUGAAAAUGAAAACUGCUUUUAAAAAAGUCUCUGAAACUAGGAUCAUGGAGAUGACCAGAAAAAAAAGAAAAGAAAAUAAAAGAAAAACAAGAAAGAAAACAGUAGCCUGAUGCCAACUACUGGUUAUCUGCAUUGUUAACACAAUAGGUCCAGUGUUUUUAGUGGACACUGCAAUGCUCUUAGUCUUAAAUUAGAGCAGGCAGCUGUUUAAGUGUACAGCUGAGCAUGACAUAAGCCUGUGUAAACACUUUUCUCUGUCACAUUCUUCUAAGUAGCUGAGGGUUGUAUUUUUCUCCCUUCAUGUAGAAUAAUUCUCUUCUCCAGGAGUUUCAAGUAACUUGAAAAUUGCACUUCAAUUCUGCCAUUAGAAAUAACCCAAAAGAUUGGGGGGACAAUAUAAUUUGUCAGGUGGGUGUGUGUAUCAUGCAUCAAAAUGCCUACUUUUACAGCUAGCAAGUUCCAUAGCAAUCCACAAACACAUUAUCCCUGUUCUCUUGGGCCUACAUUUUCCAAUGUCAACACACUUGGCAGAUUCCAAAGCCAGUUCUGUUGAUAGUGAUAGGAAAUCCCUACCUGUUGUUCCUAUGGGUUUCAUAUAUAAAAUAAUCAUAGAGCAUGGUGAUACACGUCUGAACCUACAAAGAAACACACUGCAAGAAACGACUGAUUUGGUUCCAUAGAAUUCCUUGCUGUCCUCACAUUUUAAGUGGACUCAAUUACUGAGGAUUUUAAAAAUCGAAACAUUAAAAUUGCAUAACCAACACUGGUAAAUUGUGAAAAUCCUAGUAGAGUUUUCAAUAAGCAUCUCUCUCCCUUCUCCUCCGCGUCCCUUCAGUUUACACUUACUUUUUGGGGCAUCUAUGGUCAGGCAGAGAACUCAAGAACAGACUGCAACAAAUGAGCAACAAUUUGCACAGUACCAAAAUUAUUAAGUUGAAACCAUGAGACUGAUUUGCAUGAAAAGGCAGCUGACCUCCAUCUUAUGACUUAUUUUUACACCAAAUGAACUCUGAAGCUCGCAUACAAAGGCAGAUAAACUGCUCUAUCUUCCAAUUUUCAGUUAAAGCCUGUGGAGAUGGAAGAAUUCAUAGCAGAGUAGUUGGGCUCUUUUACUGUAGAGAGACAAAAACAGUGGUUGAGGACAACACCAGUCAACAGACAAGAACAAGAAUUCCUGGAAAAGCUGCAGCAGAAGCAACAGGUCACUGUAGAGACCUUGCUAAUGUGGAAAUUGUUAAAGCAGCCAGUUUAAUACUUAACUCUCACUCUUACUUUUACGUGCUGCAUUUUUAAACACACUGUCCCUUGAAGUGCAACCUGUAAUUUCUGUGGUGAUUCCUAUAUUGUUCUGGCCCUGUAAAACUGUGCAUCUUACUUCUAGAUGAGCUGUCUUCAGGCUGUUAUGGAUGGAGGCCAACACCUACACAACAGGAGGGAGGAUACAAGAAAUGUGCUUGCAGCGGGAAACAAUUUCAACCAGGCUACUUGAAACAGGGGAACAAGUCUGACAGCAGUUAAUGCUCUCUCUUUCUGUUACCACCCUAUACCAUCACCACCCUGGCCACUUCUUCACAGGUGUACUUGGCUCUUGAACAACUGGGAUCUACACAGCUGAGUUACAACACUUCAUCCAAUGCUAAUCCAGAUGUUUUUUGUUGUUGAUUCCGUCCAUAUAACUUGAAUGUUUUUCACAUUCAGCUGUUCUUUCACUUUCACCACAACCAGGAAAAUUUAUAAACCAAGAGUACAAGCUCCAUCUUCAAGUUGUUCAAGCUUAAGUUCAGGUGAAAACAAAGAACCAUAUCUGCAGGCUGCUUACUGCUUUAGACUUCUUGAUUGUGUGAUGUGCAUUAUAUAUAGCUGUAUUUUCUCUACAAGAAGAUGUAGAUCAAUCUCACUUGUUACAGGUGCUCCAAAGCCUGUCACCACACAAGGACACACAUCUCUGGCACGAAUCAGGUAUAGGCAUAGAAGCACAGACAAAUUUAUAGUGGAAGUGGUUUCUGGAUUACCCAGUCCAAACUCCUGCUCAAAGCAGGACUCAUAUCACAUUUACAGCUGAGUCUUGAUGAGACUCCAAGGAUGGGGAUGUCACGGCCUUUCUGGGCCACCUGUUCAUGUCUGGCCAAAGUGGAUUUUUUUUCCUAAUAUGACCUUCCCUUGUUGUACAUGAAUCUGUUAUCUCUUGUUUUACCCCUGUGCAUAUCUGAGGGGGCUCUGGCUGUUUCUGUAACUCCGUAUCUCUUUUAAAUGGGGCCUCAUUAACUCCUGCCUUAGCCUUCUCUUUCCAGGCUAAAUCAUUUUCCUCACUAACUUUGUUAGUCAUUCUUCCAUUGCACUUACUGCAGCUUUCUGAUAUUUUGGGGUGGGUGCAGAAUCGGACACUACCCCUAGACAAGAUACCAUGAGUACUGUGUAGAAGAAUAAUCCCUUCCCCUGACCAGCUGACACUCUUCCUAGUGCUACUCAGUAUGCACAAGACACUGCUGACUCAAUGCUUACUGUCUCCCUCACACCUCCAAGGUAACUUUCAGUGGAGAUGCUACUUGGACAGCUGGUCUCCUGUCCACAUACUCCAAGAUUUUUUUUUAUACUCCAAGAUUUUUUUCGUCCCAGGCACUUGACACAGCACUUAUCAAUGUUGAACUCUUGGAGUCCAGCUCUGCAGAGUGUACCAAGGUUCUUAUGAAUGGCAGCCCUGUCUCCAGCCAGUCAAUUGCUUUACCCAGUUUUGGGGAAUACCAGUCAAAGGUCCAUUCCAGUCAACUGGCUCAUCUACCCUGCAGCUCCUGCAAUGAAUGUGCUCCUGCAGCUGUCUACUUUGGAAAAAAUGGAUUUUUUUUCAAAAUACUGGCAGCACAACAACAGCAGCAGUGUGAAAUGAGGAAAGCUGCUGUUGGCCAGCAUUUAGACUUCUGCUGCUAAACUCGCCAACAGAACAGCAGCACAUAAAGUUUGGACACUUCCAUAUGAGGCACAUAUUAUCGUAUAGGCAAAAUUGUGAAGAACUGAAGAGCCAUGAAAACACUCAGCAGAACAGACAAUUAAAAAAAAAAGGCCUACAAACUGGGAAGUGAAGAAGUGAUUUAAGAGAGACUAGAAAACAGUUUGUUUUGUAGUCAUUAACCUCCUCUCCCAUCUGGUAUUUAUGCUACACACACACAGACACACAGAGCCACAAGUGCAUGCAUAUAUAUUUCUACCCUUCGAAUUUCAAGGCACACAGAAACAAUUAAGUCACCUAGAUUUUUAAAGCAGAUAAAAUAUUUCUUUAGAUGCUUUUCUGACAUCUGCAGGCAGUAAUCAGUUUGGUUUCUUUCUUUAAAUUAGACUGUUUGCCUCAAGUAUACACAGAAAAGUCUUACACUAAAAAAGUUCCUUGAGAUGAAGAGAAGAAUUGCUAAAAGCAGUGGCAGAGAAGAGAUUGUCCUGCCUGGUAAAAUCCUGCCUGGUAAGACCAGAGAACCUGUACAGUAGAGGAUUGCUCAAUGGGGCCAACUACAGUAUUACCUGCCAAGUCAGCCACUCUCACAGACUGGGAACUAGCAAGCGAGAGACACAGCCAGUUGGCUUUGGCGGAAUAUUUAGGGAGGAUGCAGAGGCUUAUUUACUGAAUAAUCUGGAGACCAUCUGGUGGUAUCCAGUGACAAGAACAUUGAGCUGAAAGUAGAAAUGCCUGAGCUCUAUUUCUGGCUCUGCCAACUAUUCUCUGUGACCUCUGGUGGCUCAGUUUGCCCAUAUACAAAUCAGGAAAAAAAGCUACUCUCUUCUUUAGGAAAUUUUGAUACUUCAGUAAGAAUUCACACUUACUACUAUUUCAGUAGUAUGAUUAUUUAUUUACAUUAUCAUUAAUAACUUUAGGAGCUAAAUGUUAUUUUAUUUUUUGAAUCUGAGUUUGCCCCCUGUAUUAACAAAAAGAUUACAACCACAUCAAGGGAGGUAGUACAUAAUGUGGAGUUAAACCAAAAGAAUUUCAAAACAAGCUGGACAGUAUCCUUAAUUGGGACAUUUCUAAAAUAAAGAGAUCCUUUUUUUUUUUCUUCAGAAGGAAAUGAGCAUUAAUCACAUGAAGGAAAGAUCUGUAUAUCUUACUGGAUCUUCCCCACACCCAGCCUAAUCACACUCUCACUAUCAUUACUGAGCUGUAGAAAGUACAAUCUAAAAUACUCCUGAGUUCUGAAUUUCUCACCAUUUUGCUGCAACUUUAACUAAUCAUUUGUAGGGAACAAAGGCAAUUGAGCAACCAGAUCAAUAUCUACAAGACAUGCUGAUUCCCUUCACCACCAAUCUACUCUUUUCAGAGUCCCACAGACUUCCAGACUGGUAGCAGUAGGUGGAUACAUUGCUAGAUUUGCUUUCUUUUCUCCAAACUCCUCUGACAGUUUACCACAGGGGUAGCGCAAAAUCAACCCGAUGGAGGAAUAACAAAAAAAAUCCCACCAAGGAACAGUAGCUCUUUGAGAAAAUCUCCAGAUGACUAAAAACUAGCACUAAUCCAGACUCUGAUUCAAGCCAAAAAGAAAAUUCCUGCAGCAAGCAAAAACCUGCUAUCCCCAUUGAAAGUGUUUUGCUGGACUCUUCCAUAGGUGCUAACACAGCAGAAGUAGAGAGUUUCUGCCUACCAGGAGGAUUCCCACGCAAACAGAACCCAGACACCUCCCACUUUCUUCCCACAGAACUGGUCACCCUUGCCUCUCCUUAAGUCAUCUGGUGUCUCACUGGGGAAGUGCUAUCUAGGACAAAGAAGUCUGUAGGGAUGCUGGCAAGAGUGGAAAGUGAAUCUUGUGACCGAGUGCACUGGGGCUGAGCUGCUCAGGAAAAUGAUAAUGAAGUAGAAGAGCUCUAUUUUUAAUGGGGGACAAAGGCUGAAAGGUAGCAGGAGGACCCGACCUCCCUUGGUGGGAGGGAGAGGAAGAGAGAGAGGAAGGAAGAAAUGCACUUCUUUUCACAGAUACACAGGUCAAUAACUAAACACAUAACAAUGAAGUUUAAAUUUAAACACAGAGCUACUUUUUCAACAAUGGUUCUGUAUAUGAUAGCUUUCUAAUUACAAGCUUUCUUUGCUGAUGCUGGAAGAGAUCCAAGAUACUUCAGGAAGAAUUUGGGUCUUCAGCCGUACUGCCAAGGUAUGUUGUCUCAACUUGGUUUCCUAAGGAAUGACGACUUACUCUGUCAGAUCACCUGUCUGACAAGCAAUCAAGGCUUUCACUCAACUCUGCAAUCCAUUGGCCAGUUCCAAACAACUGCCACAAAAAGGCAGAGGACUCAAAGAAGGCCUCCAAGUCUAACAAGACUGCCCUUGGCUGGAGAAAGGGGCUGGUUCGACACCUCCUCACUGAAGGGAAUUUUUCAGCAUAAUCCUAACAAGUUACCUGUUAGUGCUGAAUUAGCUGCUGAUGGACACACAUGGUCUGACCAGCCAGCCAGCACUUACCAAAAAUGCCCUGACAUGCACUGCGUCUUGUCCCCUUGGAAGGGGAUGAGGACUGCUCUGAGGAGAAUCAAGCAAUAGACCUGAAGGAAAAAUGGGUUAUUUAUUGUCACUGGAGAGAGAAGUAGGCUGGGUGUCUACAACAUCCACAGACAACCAGAAUUCAUUAGCUCCAUUACUUAGAGAACUAAUUACACUUUACAGGACUGAAAAAACCCACUUAAAGCUCCUGGUGAAGACUAAAAGCACAUACCCCAUUCUGCUUUAGCUAGGAAGAAAGGCAGGAGAAGGAAUGGAGGAAAUGAGAUUUAAGUUACUUGCUGGAAUUGUACAGAGAUCCAAGCUGGCUGCCAGAAUAUGCCUAUUUUUCUCAUUAGGGACUAUUUACUAACUCAAACUGUAGUUCAAAUGCUAGUACUACGUACCAAGGGUGGCAAUAUAAAACUAUGUUAGCUCACUUCUAUAAUAUCCAUGUAUAGCUAUAUUGAGUCACUCUUUAAUACUAUGUAACACAUACUACAUAAAUCUUGCAGAACAUUUCCUCCUAAUCUAAGUAACUUUUAUGAUGGCCAUCAUCAUCACAAUUCCUCAGAACAAAUUUAAGAUACAAACCACAGCUUUUUUAGCACCUUCAGCAACCUCAGAGCACAGUAACUCUUUGGGCUGGCUAUUUAACAGAAACUUCUGUAAUCAAAGACACAAAAAACAUGGCAGUACAAGAUAAAGUCAAAAUUAGUUUUAAAUUGUAUUCCAAAACUCAAGUACCCACCAGAGAUACAGCAGACUUAUUGCUGUACUGCAAAGUGUUUGAAAACUGCUUUUCCAGCAGCAAACAUUUAUUAACUGGAGGGAAUAUUCCCAUCCCAUGAAAACAAGUUUUUGUUUUAGAGCAUCUUUAGGAGUCCAAAACAAAACUAAAAUUCAUUAGUUUUGUACUUACUGUCUAAAGUCAAUUAAUACAGAUAAUCAGAAAUAGUCAGAAAUUUAAAUUCUUUGAGUCCUAAUAAACACGGCUUGCUACUGGUCACUAGAACUUUCAAGACACAUAGUCAGUGAAGACAAAAAGGGUCUGAAUAGGUCAAUUACAGAAAAAAAAAAGAUGUCAUCUACACAUCAGAAUAGCUAGUAAUUAUGAAGUCUACAACUAUGUCUACAGAAAAUUAAAGCUGGAAGUUAUUAAAUUCCACAUUAUAUCUAAAGGUAUCAAUUUACAGUCAAUUUUUUAAUGGUUUUCUUUUUGACAAGGUGUAGAACAGCAUUUCUAAAAUUCAUCUGUUAGAAAGGUGCAAUUUCUUGACUAGAUAAAAGCAUGAAUAUCUCUGUAAACGUGGGUGCUAUUUUUUUUUUUUUUCUAGUAUCACAGCCUGGUGUUUGUUUGCUAUCUAGCUGGUUUUUUUAAAACGCAUUUUGAUACUUUUAGACACAGCACAUGCUUCCAGCUCCUAAAUGACCUGCAGUGCAAUUUACUGUAGUGUGUACUGUACAAAGUUCUUUGGUAUCCACAGGAACAGUUACCAACUGAUGUGAACUUCCUUCCCUAAAGAGCUUGUUUUGAAUAACAAACUACUCCAGGGGGAAAUACAUUAUCUUGUCUAAUCAAACGUUCAAGUGAGGCUUAUUUCAUUCCAGGGCUUUACUAUGCAUUGUGGAAAUGUUUGUGGCACUGACCUUUAAUUAAUCUCAACCUUAAAGGAAGACAGUAAAAGCUUAAAAGCCCAGAUUGUGCAUAUGAUUUUAAAGCUACAUGUAAAUGGUUUAAAGAAUUAAUAAAGAUCUCCUAUUUUUUUAGUGACCGUGUUCUCUAAGAUGUUUGCUUUUAUGUAAUCGGUAUAAAAGGUUUUCGUAAAUAUGAGUGGUUAUUUGUUCUUACUUUGUUCAAUCAGGUUUAAAAUACAGAUGUUACUGAUAUAGGGUUUAUAUUACCAACAUGCUUCCUUUUACCCAAGUGUAUUUAUUCAGUGCUUUUUGAUUAGCUGGAAGUGUUUCCCACUGAGAAACAUGUACUUUAGACAGAAAACAAUUCAACAGGACAGUAUCACAUAUAUGUAGGGCAAAAGUUCAUUUUUCACGUCAGAGAGCUCGUGUCAGGUAAAAAUAUAACUUGGCCUCCUGUGAUGUCUGCCCAGGUGGCACGAAGCAGAAACAGCCAAGCCAUUCCUGAGAGGCCUUUUGCUGAGGAGACAUCUUUGGCGGAGUUCACUGCCCAGGUCCCACCAGGGAAGGAAAGGACAAGUCAAGGAUAGCUAGGAAAGAAGAGGAAACCAGGGGAAAUAUUGGGGUGCUUUCUUCAGCAUCCUCUUUCCUUCACCUCAACCAUCCCAGAGCAGAUGUCCCUAGACAGGAAAAGAGAGUUUCUAGCAUGCUCAUGAAGAGUUGGGAAAGCAGAGCAAGAAAGCCUUUCUGAUGCUGUGAAAAGCACUGAUAGAAAUACUCUGAUGAAUUACUCAAGUAUGCAGUAUUGAUUAUGUGUAUCCAUAAAAAGGAAGAAACCGACAUAAUUCCUGUUGUUAAACAACGAUAAAUACUGAAAGUUUUUGACACUUCUUUUUGACUACUGUCAGAAAGACAAUUUAGUAACACUAUAAAUAAAAUACGCAACAUCUUAUAAACAACAUAAUAAACAACAUCUCAAAAACUGGUGCAAUACUCUGGUGUAUACAUUUGCUGUAAUGAUCAAAUACUGUUUUUACAGUAAACACUUUACUAAUGCCUACAAAGUAUAAAGCUCUUGGAAAAUCAGAAUAAAAAUUAAGCCCCAAAUAUCACUGUUUUUUUUGCAACUGAUGACAACCAAUUGUAUUACAUUCCUUGAACAUUCUCUACUUGUAAAGUGAAAAGUUGUAAGCUUCAGGUAUUUUUAAAAAUGGUACUAAUGAUUCAGUUCCAAAUCUUAUUCUGUUUGUUUUUGAUGUAUUUUUGAUAUCCAUUUAGGUAAAUAAGAAAACAAGCUAGUUAUUUCUCUUCCUCACUGCUAAUUUUCAGUUCUAGUUGGCUGCACAGGUUAAUUCUAAGUUGGCUGGCUUUCAAUCACAUUUUCUA